rnacentral:rRNA from 1 species
CCUACGGGAGGCAGCAGUGGGGAAUAUUGGGCAAUGGGCGAAAGCCUGACCCAGCAAAGCCGCGUGAAGGAAGAAGGCUUUCGGGUUGUAAACUUCUUUUGACAGGGAAGAGCAGAAGACGGUACCUGUCUAAUCACCCCCGGCUAACUACGUGCGAGAAGCCGCGGUAAUACGUAGGGGGCAAGGGUUGUCCGGCAUUACUGGGUGUAAAGGGCGUGUAGCCGGGCUUAAAAGUCAGAUGUGAAAUCCGCGGUCUCAACCCCCGAACUGCAUUUGAAACUGUUGGUCUUGAGUAUCGGAGAGGCAGGCGGAAUUCCUAGUGUAGCGGUGAAAUGCGUAGAUAUUAGGAGGAACACCAGUGGCGAAGGCGGCCUGCUGGACGACAACUGACGGUGAGGCGCGAAAGCGUGGGGAGCAAACAGGAUUAGAUACCCUAGUAGUC